GACGAACGCUGGCGGCGUGCUUAACACAUGCAAGUCGAACGCAUCCUUCGGGGUGAGUGGCAGACGGGUGAGUAACGCGUGGGAACGUGCCCUUCAGUUCGGGAUAACCCAGGGAAACUUGGGCUAAUACCGGAUACGUGCGAGAGCAGAAAGAUUUAUCGCUGAAGGAUCGGCCCGCGUCUGAUUAGCUAGUUGGUGGGGUAAGGGCCCACCAAGGCGACGAUCAGUAGCUGGUCUGAGAGGAUGAUCAGCCACAUUGGGACUGAGACACGGCCCAAACUCCAACGGGAGGCAGCAGUGGGGAAUAUUGGACAAUGGGCGCAAGCCUGAUCCAGCCAUGCCGCGUGAGUGAUGAAGGCCUUAGGGUUGUAAAGCUCUUUCGUCCGGGACGAUAAUGACGGUACCGGAAGAAGAAGCCCCGGCUAACUUCGUGCCAGCAGCCGCCGUAA
rnacentral:rRNA from 1 species